rnacentral:pre_miRNA from 1 species
AAUAAGUUUAUUUAUAAAUUUCUGUCUCUAACGCUUGACCGCUCGUCUUUGAUUUUUUUAUGAAUAUUUUUAUUGUUAUUAGAUGAUAAAAUAUGAAUAGUAUUUUAUGUGUGACUUAUUUUUUAUAAACUUUUUUAAAUAAAACGGACGGUUAAACGUUGGAAAAAAAACCACAAACGAAUUUAUU